rnacentral:lncRNA from 1 species
UAAAUCCUUCAGCUGGACAUUGUGGUUUUCCAUCACAGUUCUCAAAGUUCAUUUUCAACCCUCAGCGUUGCAAUUUCCCCCCACAGAGUAUCACAAAUGUCCGCUUUCAUUUAAGUUAUCUUGGCGUCCAAAGAAGCAAUCGCAGACAGCACUUGUUUAUUGCCUUGUGUGCACUCUUCAUAUGCAGAACUAGCGGGCGUGCUGGUUCUUCCACUGUAUUCAUAGAAUGAAUGUAAAACUGUCAGACAUUCAUUAAAUAUGCAAAAUGUCCACAGAAACAUCAGAGGGUCAGAUGUGAAGCACUCAGUGAUUUUGAUCAAAUGACUCAUCAGUUAUUGAUCUGUACUACACUGAUCUACCACGUUAGUAAAGCUGGUGUUCUGGUGGUGGAGGGAGACCUCGGAUCAUGUUCUGGUGUUGGAGCAGUGAUCUGCUGAUGGUUCAGUUUAAUGAGCUUCUUCAAAAUCCUCCCUGACAUCACCACUGAAAGGAUGUCCAUGAAAACAGACUGAAAAUUACUGAUAUGUUCACAAUCUGAGAGUUUAUAAUCAAUCAAUCAAUCAAUAUACUUUAUUAAUCCCAAGGGAAAUUACGGUUACAGCAGGCAGCACGCUAAUGGCGCAUGCGCACUUACAAAGGAACCUUCUGACCAAACUAAACACAAACAACACAUUGGGGAGACAUGUCAGAGAGAUAGGCUGAUAGGAAAAAAACAAAACUUAGUAAAAAUUACUGAUAUUUUCACAAUCUGAGUUUAAAAGUUGACAGACUUGAUUCAGAUGAAGUUAUUUGAGCAGAAACUCCUGGAUCUUUAUCCUGUGUUGAUCUAAUCCUUCAUGGUUCCUCCACAGAGUGGACCAGCAGAGCUCAGAGGUUCCCAGUGGUCAGUCUGCCCAGCAGCAUCAAACACAGCUGGACUCCAUAUUUAUGCUGCUGGAGGACAACAUCAUCACUUUUGUGAAGAACGAGCUGAAGAAGAUCCAGAAGGUUCUGAGUCCAGAUUACCCAGAAUGCUUAGAGAGUCAGAUGAGCAGCAGAGAGGCAUUUGUGAAGAUCACAGUGGACUUCCUGAGGAGAAUGAAGCAGGAGGAGCUGGCUGAGCGUCUGCAGAGCAGUAAGCGGAUUUAUCUAAAGAUUUAAGCUGCUGGAUAAAUGAAUAUUUUCUAAUGUCUGAAGA